CUCCUAUCCCGAUUCAGAUCAUCCCUCCCUUGUGCCACCGCCACCUCCCCUAGCCCCAACCCAGCGACCCGGCCCCGACCUCAGCAACCACCGCCCUCCUCUGGCUCGCGCCGCAGUCGCCGCAUCCCCGGCUCCUCACCACAAGCUCCAGCAAGCCCGCCCUCCCCGCGGCAGCGGCCGCCGCGCCCUGCGGCUCGCGAGGCGACGAGCUCCGCAGCGCCUCCGACGACCGCGCCCGGAGCGCGACGGCGGCGCCAUUCCAAGCACUUGACGCCACGCUCCGCCGCGGCUCCUUCACCGUCCGCCGCUCCUCCGGGCUCUGUACCUCGCCGAAUUCCCCCUUAGUCACGGCCUCUCGUCCGGGCUCUGCACCUCGUCCACGGCUUCUGCACCUCGAUGGUUGCUGCUGGACUCUACCCCUCCAAGUUGCCCGGACGCCUCCCCAACUCUCCCUCCUCCCCAACAAGGCCGCUGCCGUCCUGGCGGCGUGCCUCGGCCCCGCGGCGGCGGACCAGCCCGGAUCCGUCGAGGGAUACACCAUCGCCGGCCGCCGCUCAUUCGUGCCUUCCUGUUACUGAGGUUGGGGAGCAGGAUCUGGCGCUGGGGUUCAAGGUCAACGCCAAGGGCACUGCUGCUGCACGCCUUCAUCAGCGUCUUCUCCUGGCACAACGAGACCAUCAACAUCUGGACGCACCUGCUCGGCUUCUUCUUGUUCUCGGGAAUUUUUAGAGUAGCAUUUCUCAUGACUCCGUCAUGCGGUUCCGGUUGCUUUUACUUGACCAACCUUGCUGCCUACCUAAUCUGCAACUUUUACGAUUGGCAAGGCCGAUGGUGAGAAGUGUAAGUACCUGAGUGAUGCUGUUUCGUGGAAUAUGCCCAGCCACGUGGAAGCAACAACUCUAUUUCAAGGCUGUGUCGUGCAGGUUCUGAUCAUGGUAUGGCAGCACACUUUCCAGCGUCGAUCUGAGCAAACGAUGAAGCAAGGCUGCUCCUCCUUGUACUGCAUGUCUUCAUCGACUUGAUUCUUUGACAGGGAGAUAUUUAAAGCCUUCACUUGUUCAUUGUGUCAUCUGCUGAUUACUUUUUCUAUUAUUUUCUUGCAAAGCAUGUAAUGGUUUGGAGUAGUUGAUCAUGGCCUGAUGGAACAUUCAUGUUGUUAGCAUGUAUAUAUACACUAUUACAGCAGCUUGUUGAUCAAGCGCUUCUUUCUAUCUAAAUGUGUGCACAGAAGUUCAAUUACCUUCUAAAAAAUUAUUGGUGCACUAUCUAUCUAUAUAUAUACACUAUCUAUCUAUAUAUAUAUAUAUACACUAUUACAGCAGCUUGUUGAUCAAGCGCUUCUUUCUAUCUAUAUAUAUACACUAUCUAAAUUGUUUGCAACGGCAUUAUGCACAUGAGGCAGGACUAUACAAGUGAAUUGUCACAGUAAGGUCCUUCCAUGGAUUUCAUGUGGCUCCUUGAGUUGUAAGAUGCAGCUCCAACAUUGAAUAUAUUUUGAAUGUUUCCAAAGAUACUCUCUGUUACGUUUACUUCAAUAUAUACAUGCAUGUUACUGAUAGCUAGAAGCUGGCUGCAGGAAUCCGUACACAUAUAUACUCUCUUGUACAGUACAUUGCUAGAUCACUCACUAGGCAUUAUGUAAUACUACUAGGAGAUAUGGGUGAGGGACUAAAAGGAUGAUACGCUUCCAUGAAUUUAUUUGUAAGAAGUUUUUCUUGGCUGUGUACAAAUCAGCCCAAAUGAAUUUAUGUUCUUUUUUACCUCCAGAGUUAUAGUGCACUCAUACUGUCAUCACAUUGCGUGUUCUUGCUGCAUAUACCUCUCUAUUUGCUUAGGCAGACAACUACUUAUGUAAUAUGCAAACAACAGCAACAGAGCUAGUGAUGCUAAUUCUACCUCUUGUUACAGAAUCAGAAUUCCUCUUGUUGCACAGGACAACUCCAUUUCCUCUUGUUACAGAAUCAGAAUUCCUCUGCUUCUUAUGCUACUCUACUAGAACUCUGCUUUUCUACUUGUCAUAUUGAAUAUACAUGUUCUAAACAUUAUACAGUACUUUCGUUGUUAACUCCAAACAACUUGGGAUCUUCUCUUCUGCAUGCAGCAACUGGCUUACCAGUACGCCGCCAAGGGGGCAUGCCUUGCCCUGGUAGCAAGGAGGGAGUGGAGCCUGUGGUAGGUCGCCGACCGCGCCUUCGAGCUCGGCGCGCAGGACGUGAUCAUUCUCCCCGGGGACAUCGCAGACCCCGACGACUACAACAGAUUUGUUCAGGCCACAAUCGACCAGUACAGCCAAUGGCGACCGUGGAAGGCAUGAUGAUAGUUCAAAUUGGCAUUCUGUUAGUCCAGUGUAAUGAAGGUCAUGGCCUAGUCAAGUAUGGUCGCCCAUUAAGUCGUGCAUAUGUUUUAUAUGAUUGGAGCAGGGGCCCAGUUUGUGCCGAUUGUCACUGCAUAUGUUUAACUGUGAUUCUACUUGUAUAUGUGUUAUUACACUAGUAGAAUUUGUACCUGUGCGAUGACUGGAGCAGGAUCCCAAUAUUUGUAGAGAUUGUAACAUUGAUUGUCACUAUAUACAGAUUGAUUCUGGUUGCUGUUA